UACGGAGGGAGCUAGCGUUAUUCGGAAUUACUGGGCGUAAAGCGCACGUAGGCGGCUUUGUAAGUUAGAGGUGAAAGCCUGGAGCUCAACUCCAGAACUGCCUUUAAGACUGCAUCGCUUGAAUCCAGGAGAGGUGAGUGGAAUUCCAAGUGUAGAGGUGAAAUUCGUAGAUAUUCGGAAGAACACCAGUGGCGAAGGCGGCUCACUGGACUGGUAUUGACGCUGAGGUGCGAAAGCGUGGGGAGCAAACAGG
rnacentral:rRNA from 1 species